AUUGAACGCUGGCGGCGUGCCUAACACAUGCAAGUCGCACGCGAAAGGGGGCAACCCCAAGUAGAGUGGCGGACGGGUGAGUAACGCGUAGGAAUCUACCUAGUAGUGGGGGACAACCCGGCGAAAGACGGGCUAAUACCGCAUACGACCUAAGGGUGAAAGCAGGGGAUCGCAAGACCUUGCGCUAUUAGAUGAGCCUGCGUCCGAUUAGCUAGUUGGUGAGGUAACGGCUCACCAAGGCGACGAUCGGUAACUGGUUUGAGAGAACGACCAGUCACAUUGGGACUGAGACACGGCCCAAAGUCCUACGGGAGGCAGCAGUGGGGAAUAUUGGACAAUGGGGGCAACCCUGAUCCAGCGAUGCCGCGUGUGUGAAGAAGGCCUUCGGGUUGUAAAGCACUUUCGGCAGGGACAAACAAGACGGAGCUAACAUCUCCGUUCCUGAUGGUACCUGAAGAAGAAGCACCGGCUAACUCUGUGCCAGCCGCCGCAGUAA
rnacentral:rRNA from 1 species